AGGGCACCACCAGGAGUGGAGCCUGCGGCUUAAUUUGACUCAACACGGGGAAACUCACCCGGCCCGGACACCGUAAGGAUUGACAGAUUGAUAGCUUUUUCAUGAUUCGGUGGAUGGUGGUGCAUGGCCGUUCUUAGUUCGUGGAGCGAUUUGUCUGGUUUAUUCCGAUAACGAGCGAGACUCUGGCCUACUAAAUAGUUGGUGCAUUGUCACUGUGCGCACAACUUCUUAGAGGGAUUGUCGGUGUUCAGCCGCACGAAAUUGAGCAAUAACAGGUCUGUGAUGCCCUUAGAUGUCCGGGGCUGCACGCGCGCUACACUGGCAAAAUCAGCGUGCUUGUGCUUGCCCGAGAGGGCCUGCUAAACCCGUGAAAAUUUGCCGUGAUUGGGAUCGGACAUUGCAAUUAUUGUCCGUGAACGAGGAAUUCCUUGUAGGGGCGAGUCAUCAGCUCGCUCUGAAUACGUCCCUGCCCUUUGUACACACCGCCCGUCGCUGCCCGGGACUGAGCCAUUUCGAGAA
rnacentral:rRNA from 1 species